CAGAUCAAGGGCCCCAUGAUGGACCUUUCCGCUCAUCAGAGCAGAUUAGAUGACGGCAGUAUGGUAAACAUUUCUCACAAAGUUAUCAAGGAUACAUGUAUCCCUGUACAUACAAAUGAAUAUGGUUUCGUCCGUCAACCCACAGAUAUACAACUUGUGCAAUUCCUUUGAGGUGAUCAAACCUUGUUUUAUUGCUGGAA